rnacentral:lncRNA from 13 species
AUGAAACCCUGUCUCUAUGGGGGGAAAAAAAAAGCACAGAAAAAUUAGCUGGGCGUGGUGUGGCAGGUGCCUGUAGUCUCAGCUACUCAGGAGGCUGAGGCAGGAGAAUCACUUGAACCUGGGAGACAGAGGUUGCAGUGAGCCGAGAUUGCAUCACUGCACUCCAGCCUGGGUGACUGAGCGAGACUCCAUCUCAAGAAAAUAAAAAACAAACAAAACAAACAAACAACAACAACAAUGAAAAACAAAAGGAGGCAGCCAACAGACAGGGACUUGGCAGGAGUGGAGCUGGGAGAAUAAAUUCCCAGCCUCUUUCUCUUCCCUCCCUGGAUCUCCUUCUGCUGGCUUUUAUUGGUCAGACCUGUCAGGAAGCGGAAGGACAGCAGAGCUUGUUGAUGGAGAGCAUCCAGUCAGCCUCCUGGUGAACACUGGCAGGGCUGAAACUGGAAGACAUCCAAGGCAGACGACGAUCACUGCUACAUUAAGGAGCCUGUGGUGGUUAUUGGGAGCAUGAUUAAACAGUGGAUAACUUGAUGGACCUGAAGUCAUGAAGAAGUCUGGGCCAGGAAAUCGGCAAUACACAGGUUGUAGGAAUCUGCUUCAGAAGAGCUGAUGUUGUUGAGGGUUAAUAAAGGGGAACUCACAGCAGCAGAAGAAAAUUCAGAUGAAUUAUCUGGUGAACAACAAAGAAAAUGCCACAAAUCUGACAGUAUUUCCCUUUCCUUUGAGGAAAGCCUGCCUCUGUGUGUAAUAAGGGAGAUGUGUCCUGAAAGAAGCAGUAGCAACGAAUCUGUGAGAAAUGUGUAUCCACCGAGGAGUUUUCCUUUUCACCUUCCCCAAGACCUGGAGUUUUCCUCCCACCUCUACUCCAGAAGUGAGUCCUUCAGGGCUGAUUCCACCUUCAAAUGAGACUGCAACUGAACAUACAGAAGCACAGCAAGAAACUUCACAGUAUUUUUUGCUCUGUUCAAAAGUGAUUUUGACUGACAUUAUUUUUAACUUAAAGUAACUGCUAUUACUGUGUAACUGUUACUUUUAUUUACUUAUACCUUUGUUAAAAUGGAAGCUUAAUGGCAUUAUAAUUCCAGGCUAGUACUUUAUAAAGAAAGAUGAUUUAAGUAUGAAUCUUAUGAGUAAAUUAUUUCCAUUUUAUUUUAUUCUAGAUAGUAUAACUAUUUUAAUUUGAUUAAUCCACCAUUAUAUAAACAACCAUGGGAGUUUUAUAUAUGUAAUCUUGCAGGUGGGGAAGCUUUGAAUUCUAAAGGCUGUGUCUUUAUGACAAAAACUGUAUUUACUGUGGUUGUAGAAAAAUGUGAAAGUUACCUUAUGCUGAAUUAAAUAAAUUUUAGUUGAUUUAAAGACUUGUUUGGCA